CAGCCGCCGCGGUAAUACGUAGGGAGCGAGCGUUGUCCGGAAUUACUGGGUGUAAAGGGUGCGUAGGCGGGUCAGCAAGUCAGGCGUGAAAUACCGGGGCUCAACUCCGGGGCUGCGCUUGAAACUGUUGGUCUUGAGUGAAGUAGAGGCAGGCGGAAUUCCUAGUGUAGCGGUGAAAUGCGUAGAUAUUAGGAGGAACACCAGUGGCGAAGGCGGCCUGCUGGGCUUUAACUGACGCUGAUGCACGAAAGCAUGGGGAGCAAACAGGAUUAGAUACCCUGGUAGUCCAUGCCGUAAACGAUGAUAGCUAGGUGUGGGGGGUUAUAUGCCAUCCGUGCCGGAGUUAACACAAUAAGCUAUCCACCUGGGGAGUACGGCCGCAAGGCUAAAACUCAAAGGAAUUGACGGGGGCCCGCACAAGCAGUGGAGUAUGUGGUUUAAUUCGAUGCAACGCGAAGAACCUUACCAGGUCUUGACAUCCGACUAACGGAGCAGAAAUGCACUGGUGCCCGCAAGGGAAAGUCGAGACAGGUGGUGCAUGGCC
rnacentral:rRNA from 1 species